AGUCUGGUGCCAGCAGCCGCGGUAAUUCCAGCUCCAAUAGCGUAUAUUAAAGUUGUUGCAGUUAAAAAGCUCGUAGUUGGAUCUCAGGAUUUGGAUGGAUGGUUCGCUUUCGGGCGCUACUAUCUGUCUGACCUACUCUAGUCGUGGAUGCCUUGGGUGCUCUUAAUUGAGUGCUUUUGGUGCCCGACGCAAUUACUUUGAAAAAAUUAGAGUGCUCAAAGCAGGCGUAUUGCCUGAAUAGUGUUGCAUGGAAUAAUGAAAUAGGAGUUUACUUCUAUUUUGUUGGUUUUCGGAGGUGAACUAAUGAUUAACAGGGACAGACGGGGGCAUUUGUAUGGAGGGGUUAGAGGUGAAAUUCUUGGAUCCUCUCCAGACAAACUACUGCGAAAGCAUUUGCCAGGAAUGUUUUCACUAAUCAAGAACGAAAGUCAGAGGUUCGAAGACGAUCAGAUACCGUCCUAGUUCUGACCAUAAAUGAUGCCAUCUAACAAUCCACGAAGUUUGCUUGUACGAACUCGUGGGCGGUCCCCGGGAAACCAAAGAUUUUGGGUUCCGGGGGAAGUGUGGUUGCAAAGCUGAAACUUAAAGGAAUUGACGGAAGGGCACCACCAGGAGUGGAGCCUGCGGCUUAAUUUGACCCAACACGGGAAACCUCACCCGGCCCGGACACUUUUAGGAUUGACAGAUUGAAGGCUCUUUCUUGAUCAAGUGGUUGGUGGUGCAUGGCCGUUCUUAGUUGGUGGAGCGAUUUGUCUGGUUAAUUCCGGUAACGAACGAGACUCUACUCUGCUAAAUAGAACGUUGAUAUAUAAAAGUCAGUGCUGACUUCUUAGAGAGACUAACGGCGUUUAGCCGUGUGAGAAAGAGCAAUAACAGGUCUGUGAUGCCCUUAGAUGUCCGGGGCCGCACGCGCGCUACACUGACUGCAGCAACUAGUAUGCUCCUGGUUUGAAAAAACUGGGUAACCUGGUUGAAUUGCAGGCGUGACAGGGAUCAGAGUUUGCAAUUAUCCUCUGUGAACGAGGAAUUCCCAGUAAGCGCAAGUCAUUAGCUUGUGCUGAUUACGUCCCUGCCCUUUGUACACACCGCCCGUCGCUACUACCGAUUGAAUGGUUUAGUGAGGUCUUCGGAUUGGUGCUGAUGGAGUGGUUCUCUGCUCUGUUAGUGCCGAGAAGAUGAUCAAACUUGAUCAUUUAGAGGAAGUAAAAGUCGUAACAAGGU
rnacentral:rRNA from 1 species